CUGAGAGGGGACUCACAUAGUGUUUACCUGUUCCAAAGAAAUCACCUGGAGGUCCAGCAGCACUGCCAUUGCCCAAAUCCUUCCUGCACUCUGAAGCAGUGUGUCUCCCGGAUGCCAGCCAUGGCACAGCCCACGAACUGACAUAGCAUUCAGAUGCUGUCACCUUUUCUCUUGAAGACAUAGACCAAGAGAUGUGGAGUAUUUCCUGGGCCUGAACAGCGUUAAGAGAGUAGAUGUUUAGGGCUACCUUGAGCCCUGCCAGCACUGAGCUUUGGAUCACAAGUGACUGAGGCCCCCGGGUGUUCUUUAACACAUGUCUUUAUGGGAGGGAGGGUUGUAAUAUGUGAGCCCUCAAAAGUGAGGGCCUGGACCAGGGGCCGCAAGGAAACUUUCUGUGGGGAUGGAAAUGUUCCAUAUCUUGAUCUGUUUGAUGGUUCCAUCAGUGUAUAUGUUUGUCAAAAUUCAUCAAGCUGUUCACUUAAGAUUUGUGCAUUCGUGCAUGUGAAUUAUACUUCAAUAAAGUGCUGUUAGCAUAAAGGAUAAA